GACGAACGCUGGCGGCGUGCUUAACACAUGCAAGUCGAACGGAAAGGCCUGCUUUCCCUUGUGGAUUGCGGGUACUCGAGUGGCGAACGGGUGAGUAACACGUGAGUGAUCUGCCCCCAACUUGGGUAUAAGCCUGGGAAACUGGGUCUAAUUCCCGAUAGGACUGCAGGGUGGUGCCUGUGGUGGAAAACGAUUUUCUAGUGGUUGGGGAUGAGCUCGCGGCCUAUCAGCUUGUUGGUGGGGUAAUGGCCUACCAAGGCGGCGACGGGUAGCCGGCCUGGGAGGGUGGACGGCCACAUUGGGACUGAGAUACGGCCCAGACUCCUACGGGAGGCAGCAGUGGGGAAUAUUGCACAAUGGGCGGAAGCCUGAUGCAGCAACGCCGCGUGGGGGAUGACGGCCUUCGGGUUGUAAACUCCUUUCGACCGCGAGGAAGCCACCUGGUUGGAAGGGUGGUGACGGUAGUGGUAGAAGAAGCACCGGCUAACUACGUG
rnacentral:rRNA from 1 species